rnacentral:tRNA from 1 species
GGAUUGUGGCUCAGUGGUAGAGCGCUUGUCUAGCAUGUGUGAGACACUGAGUUCAAUUCUCAGCACCA